UACGUAGGGUGCGAGCGUUAAUCGGAAUUACUGGGCGUAAGGCGUGCGCAGGCGGUUUUGUAAGCCAGAUGUGAAAUCCCCGGGCUUAACCUGGGAAUGGCAUUUGGGACUGCAAGGCUUGAGUGCGGCAGAGGAGACUGGAAUUCCUGGUGUAGCAGUGAAAUGCGUAGAUAUCAGGAGGAACACCGGUGGCGAAGGCGGGUCUCUGGGCCGAUACUGACGCUGAGGAGCGAAAGCGUGGGGAGCGAACAGG
rnacentral:rRNA from 1 species